GCCGGAGGUACUGGAAGACUCCCCUACUCCCCCUAGUGGCAGUCCCUGGUGAAUCAAACCAUGACCAUAAAGGUUGCUGGACUGCCCAAUGGCCUUACCCUCAAAUGAUGCAGCACCAACCCCACUGACACAGCAGAGGACAUGGACACAGAAGACACAGCAGAUGGCAUCCGGACGAAGUGCACAGCAGAUGGAAGAAGAGUCCUCAGAAACAGCCACUAAUGUAGCUGCGUGAUGACUGCCAUUGAAGGUUUCUAUCCAAAUUGUGGUAUUCCACAUCAAAUUACAGAGGCCCUGGCACCCACUGUCUCAGAUCUUGCUGACACUGUAGGAGGCAGCAAUUAUUUUAACUUUUAUUUAACCUUUAUUACUCAGGAAGUCCCAUUGAGAUUAAUGAACUCUUUUUCAAGGGAGACCAAGAUUGGCAGCAGCACAGAUACAAACAAGUAGCUGCUAAUCAUAAACAGUGAAAUUCCAACAAAUCAGCCUCCAGUUCUUUCAUUUUGGAUUUGAAAGCAU